rnacentral:rRNA from 1 species
GUGCCAGCAGCCGCGGUAAUACGUAGGUGGCAAGCGUUAUCCGGAAUUAUUGGGCGUAAAGCGCGCGUAGGCGGUUUUUUAAGUCUGAUGUGAAAGCCCACGGCUCAACCGUGGAGGGUCAUUGGAAACUGGAAAACUUGAGUGCAGAAGAGGAAAGUGGAAUUCCAUGUGUAGCGGUGAAAUGCGCAGAGAUAUGGAGGAACACCAGUGGCGAAGGCGACUUUCUGGUCUGUAACUGACGCUGAUGUGCGAAAGCGUGGGGAUCAAACA